rnacentral:lncRNA from 1 species
CUUGUCUGCUCCUUACAGUACACGUGGCUGACAAAGGGAAGGGAAGAUGGAGCCUCCAAUUUGAACAUGUGUACUCCGAAGUUCCUCCCUGCGUUCACUCGUGCAAGCUCCCAGCUUGCUUGUCUGUGUCUGCAGCUCGGCUUUACAGAAUGCUCUUUGUUAGAAAAUGAUUUGGGGCUGCUUUUCAUGAAAAAGAAAAGCCUUACUGAGGAUUCCCAUACUCCUACUAUCUGCCUAAGUGAUUUCUUCUAAACUCCUGUAUCAGUGAAGUGCAAAGCUAGUGAAAGGUGAGGAGACUGAAGCAUGAGAUUAAGAAAUCAAGACCGCCUUCCCCCUGUAGGGCCGGCCGGCGAGUCCCAGUGAGAGCGGAGG